GAUGAACGCUGGCGGCGUGCCUAAUACAUGCAAGUCGAGCGAACAGACGAGAGUGCUUGCACUCUCUGACGUUAGCGGCGGACGGGUGAGUAACACGUGGGUAACCUACCUAUAAGACUGGGAUAACUUCGGGAAACCGGAGCUAAUACCGGAUAAUAUUUAGCUUCGCAUGAAGCAAUAGUGAAAGACGGUUCUGCUGUCACUUAUAGAUGGACCCGCGGUGUAUUAGCUAGUUGGUGAGGUAACGGCUCACCAAGGCAACGAUACAUAGCCGACCUGAGAGGGUGAUCGGCCACACUGGGACUGAGACACGGCCCAGACUCCUACGGGAGGCAGCAGUAGGGAAUCUUCCGCAAAGGACGAAAGUCUGACGGAGCAAUGCCGCGUGAGUGAAGAAGGUUUUCGGAUCGUAAAACUCUGUUGUAAGGGAAGAACAAGUACGUUAGUAACUGAACGUACCUUGACGGUACCUUACCAGAAAGCCACGGCUAACUACGUG
rnacentral:rRNA from 1 species